ACACAUGCAAGUCGAACGAGAACGGAUUAUAGCUUGCUAUAAUUGUCAGCUAAGUGGCGCACGGGUGAGUAAUGUAUAGAUAACCUGCCCUUAAGAAAGGAAUAACAGUUGGAAACGACUGCUAAUGCCCUAUAUGCCUUUAAUACAUAAGUAUGCAAGGGAAACGCUUUAGUGCUUAAGGAUGGGUCUGUAUGGUAUCAGCUUGUUGGUGAGGUAAUGGCUCACCAAGGCUAUGACGCCUAACUGGUUUGAGAGGGUGAUCAGUCACACUGGAACUGAGACACGGUCCAGACUCCUACGGGAGGCAGCAGUGGGGAAUAUUGCACAAUGGACGAAAGUCUGAUGCAGCAACGCCGCGUGGAGGAUGACACAUUUCGGUGCGUAAACUCCUUUUAUAUAGGAAGAUAAUGACGGUACUAUAUGAAUAAGCACCGGCUAACUCCGUGCCAGCAGCCGCGGUAAUACGGAGGGUGCAAGCGUUACUCGGAAUCACUGGGCGUAAAGAGCGUGUAGGCGGGUAUAUAAGUCAGAAGUGAAAUCCAAUAGCUCAACUAUUGAACUGCUUUUGAAACUGUAUACCUAGAAUGUGGGAGAGGUAGAUGGAAUUUCUGGUGUAGGGGUAAAAUCCGUAGAGAUCAGAAGGAAUACCGAUUGCGAAGGCGAUCUACUGGAACAUUAUUGACGCUGAGACGCGAAAGCGUGGGGAGCAAACAGGAUUAGAUACCCUGGUAGUCCACGCCCUAAACGAUGUACACUAGUUGUUGUGAGGCUCGACCUUGC
rnacentral:rRNA from 1 species